rnacentral:rRNA from 1 species
UACGGGGGGGGCAAGCGUUGUUCGGAAUUACUGGGCGUAAAGGGCUCGUAGGCGGCCAACUAAGUCAGACGUGAAAUCCCUCGGCUUAACCGGGGAACUGCAUCUGAUACUGGAUGGCUUGAGUUCGGGAGAGGGAUGCGGAAUUCCAGGUGUAGCGUGAAAUGCGUAGAUAUCUGGAGGAACACCGGUGGCGAAGGCGGCAUCCUGGACCGACACUGACGCUGAGGAGCGAAAGCCAGGGGAGCAAACGGG